GACGAACGCUGGCGGCGUGGAUUAGGCAUGCAAGUCGAACGGUAUCAUCCUUUCGGGGGUGAGAGAGUGGCGAACUGGUGAGUAACACGUAGGUUAUCUACCCUCAAGACGGGGACAACCCAGGGAAACUUGGGCUAAUACCGGAUGUGAGCAACUUUUAGUUGUUUGAAAGGUGGCGUAAGCUGUCGCUUGGGGAUGAGCCUGCGUCCUAUUAGUUAGUUGGUGAGGUAACGGCUCACCUAGGCAAUGAUAGGUAGGCGGCCUUAACGGGUGGUCGCCCACACUGGGAUUGAGAUACGGCCCAGACUCCUACGGGAGGCAGCAGUCGAGAAUAGUCUACAAUGGUCGGAAGACUGAUAGUGCGACGCCGCGUGAACGAUGAAUCCCUUCGGGGUGUAAAGUUCUUUUAUAUGUGAGCAGUGCUUCUUAUAUUAAACAGUAUGGGGAGAGAGAUAUUAGCAUAUGAAUAAGCAACGGCUAAACUCCGUGCCAGCAGCCGCGGU
rnacentral:rRNA from 1 species